UACGUAGGGUGCGAGCGUUAAUCGGAAUUACUGGGCGUAAAGCGUGCGCAGGCGGUUGUGCAAGACAGUUGUGAAAUCCCCGGGCUCAACCUGGGAAUUGCAUCUGUGACUGCACGGCUAGAGUACGGUAGAGGGGGAUGGAAUUCCGCGUGUAGCAGUGAAAUGCGUAGAUAUGCGGAGGAACACCGAUAGCGAAGGCAAUCCCCUGGACCUGUACUGACGCUCAUGCACGAAAGCGUGGGGAGCAAACAGG
rnacentral:rRNA from 1 species